rnacentral:tRNA from 1 species
GGCGACGUAGCCAAGUGGUCUAAGGCCCUGGUUUGCAAAACCAAUAUUCGGCGGUUCGAAUCCGCCCGUCGCCUCCA